rnacentral:rRNA from 1 species
GUUUGAUCCUGGCUCCAGAUUGAACGCUGGCGGGCAGGGCCUAACACCAUGCAAGUCGAACGGUAACAGGAAGCAAGCUUGCUGCUUUGCUGACGAGUGGCGGACGGGUGAGUAAUGUCUGGGGAAACUGCCUGAUGGAGGGGGAUAACUACUGGAAACGGUGGCUAAAUACCGCAUAACGUCGCAAGACCAAAGAGGGGGACCCUUCGGGCCUCUUGCCAUCAGAUGUGCCCAGAAUGGGAUUAGCUUGUUGGGUGAGGUAACGGCUCACCAAGGCGACGAUCCCUAGCUGGUUCUGAGAGGAUGACCAGCCACACUGGAACUGAGACACGGUCCAGACUCCUACGGGAGGCAGCAGUGGGGAAUAUUGCACAAUGGGCGCAAGCCUGAUGCAGCCAUGCCGCGUGUAUGAAGAAGGCUUCGGGUUGUAAAGUACUUCAGCGGGGAGCAAGGUGUUGUGGUUAAUAACCGCAGC